rnacentral:rRNA from 1 species
CUCUUCUUGUAUAUUUAUUUAUGAAGUAUAACCUGCCCACUGAUAAUUUAUUAAAGGGCCGCGGUAUUUUGACCGUGCAAAGGUAGCAUAAUCAUUAGUCUUUUAAUUGGGGACUGGAAUGAAUGGUUGGACGAGGAAUAAUCUGUUUCUUUUUAAUUUUGUUGAAUUUAAAAUUUAAGUAAAAAUACUUAAAUUUUUUUAUGGGACGAGAAGACCCUAUAGAGUUUUAUAUUUUUUAUAAUAAUAUUGUUUGAUAAUUAAUUAUUAAAAAUUUUAUUUUGUUGGGGUGAUGAAAAGAAUUAAUAAACUCUUUUUUUUAUUAAUCUAUUAAUAAAUAUAUUUUAUGAUCCAAUUUUGUUGAUUAUAAGACUAAAUUACC